rnacentral:rRNA from 1 species
ACGCUCGACACCUACGGGGGAGGCAGCAGGUGGGGAAUAUUGCACAAGUGGGGGAAACCCUGAUGCAGCAACGCCGCGUGAAGGAAGGUACGGUUUUCGGUAGUUAGUUAAACUUUCUUGUUCUCAGUAGAAGAUAGUGUACGGUAGACGUAAGGAGACAACGCCGACGGCUAACGUACGUCGCCAACGACGCCGGACGGUAAUCGUGGAGGCGGGCGUGGACGAAGGC